rnacentral:rRNA from 1 species
CACGUAGUUAGCCGGUGCUUCUUAUCUAGGUACCGUCACAAAAAGCUUCGUCCCUAGCGAAAGGAGUUUACAACCCGAAGGCCGUCAUCCCCCACGCGGCGUCGCUGCAUCAGGCUUGCGCCCAUUGUGCAAUAUUCCCCACUGCCGCCUCCCGUAGGAGUCUGGGCCGUAUCUCAGUCCCAAUGUGGCCGUCCACCCUCUCAGGCCGGCUACCCGUCGCCGCCUUGGUAGGCCAUUACCCCACCAACAAGCUGAUAGGCCGCGAGCUCAUCCUACACCGAAAAAACUUUCCAACCAUCACACUAAAAAUGGCUCCUAUCCGGUAUUAGACCCAGUUUCCCAGGCUUAUCCCGAAGUGCAGGGCAGAUCACCCACGUGUUACUCACCCGUUCGCCACUCGAGUACCCUGCAAGCAGGGCCUUUCCGUUCGACUUGCAUGUGUUAAGCACGCCGCCAGCGUCGUCCUGUAGCCGAGGAGUCAAACUACUA